rnacentral:lncRNA from 1 species
CAAAGUGUUGGAAAUGUGCCCUAAAACCAAUCAUAUGAUGAUACUUUACGGACAUUUCACAUGUUAAACUAAUAUAGUUUAAUAUAAAGGGUAAACAUUAUUGUUUGAAGCCGUCUCAUAUAAAUGUUAUACGCUUAAACGAUAAGUCCAAGGAAUAUGUAAUUAGGAGAAUGCGAUCUAAAGAAGUUAGAUUCAUGAGACCAUUCUCUUUCGUAUACAUAUCCUAAACGUUCCUAAUCAUAGGAUUGCCAAUUGGGCAUUGACAAUCCGUUAAGAUUAGUACGUG